UACGUAGGGUGCGAGCGUUGUUCGGAAUUACUGGGCGUAAAGCGCACGUAGGCGGGUAUUUAAGUCAGGGGUGAAAUCCCAGAGCUCAACUCUGGAACUGCCUUUGAUACUGGGUACCUAGAGUAUGGAAGAGGUAAGUGGAAUUCCGAGUGUAGAGGUGAAAUUCGUAGAUAUUCGGAGGAACACCAGUGGCGAAGGCGGCUUACUGGUCCAUUACUGACGCUGAGGUGCGAAAGCGUGGGGAGCAAACAGG
rnacentral:rRNA from 1 species